rnacentral:lncRNA from 1 species
AUUAUAAGCAUGGCCACAAUUAUGAAUGACAACACUGUGCAUGUUCAUGUACGUAAUCAAUAUGUCCACGUUAAUGGCUACUUAGGAAUAUUAAUAGAAACUAAAGCAUUGGAGCAUUUUUGUCUUGUCAAACACUGUGCAUUGCUAAUGUAUUUUAAUUUUGGCUUAACGCUGGUGCAUUUUUUAUUGACAUUUUGAUUAU